rnacentral:rRNA from 1 species
AGAGUUUGAUCCUGGCUCAGAUUGAACGCUGGCGGCAUGCCUUACACAUGCAAGUCGAACGGUAACAGGCCGCAAGGUGCUGACGAGUGGCGAACGGGUGAGUAAUGUAUCGGAACGUGCCCAGUCGUGGGGGAUAACUGCUCGAAAGAGCAGCUAAUACCGCAUACGACCUGAGGGUGAAAGCGGGGGACCGUAAGGCCUCGCGCGAUUGGAGCGGCCGAUAUCAGAUUAGGUAGUUGGUGAGGUAAAGGCUCACCAAGCCGACGAUCUGUAGCUGGUCUGAGAGGACGACCAGCCACACUGGGACUGAGACACGGCCCAGACUCCUACGGGAGGCAGCAGUGGGGAAUAUUGGACAAUGGGCGCAAGCCUGAUCCAGCCAUGCCGCGUGAGUGAUGAAGGCCUUAGGGUUGUAAAGCUCUUUUGGCGGGGACGAUAAUGACGGUACCCGCAGAAUAAGUCCCGGCUAACUUCGUGCCAGCAGCCGCGGUAAUACGUAGGGUGCAAGCGUUAAUCGGAAUUACUGGGCGUAAAGCGUGCGCAGGCGGUUGUGCAAGACAGGUGUGAAAUCCCCGGGCUUAACCUGGGAACUGCACUUGUGACUGCACGGCUAGAGUACGGUAGAGGGGGAUGGAAUUCCACGUGUAGCAGUGAAAUGCGUAGAUAUGUGGAGGAACACCGAUGGCGAAGGCAAUCCCCUGGACCUGUACUGACGCUCAUGCACGAAAGCGUGGGGAGCAAACAGGAUUAGAUACCCUGGUAGUCCACGCCCUAAACGAUGUCAACUAGUUGUUGGGGAUUCAUUUCCUUAGUAACGUAGCUAACGCGUGAAGUUGACCGCCUGGGGAGUACGGCCGCAAGGUUAAAACUCAAAGGAAUUGACGGGGACCCGCACAAGCGGUGGAUGAUGUGGUUUAAUUCGAUGCAACGCGAAAAACCUUACCUACCCUUGACAUGCCAGGAAUCCUGCAGAGAUGUGGGAGUGCUCGAAAGAGAACCUGGACACAGGUGCUGCAUGGCCGUCGUCAGCUCGUGUCGUGAGAU